rnacentral:lncRNA from 1 species
CCAACCCGUUACUCAGCAACCAAAGUCUUCAAACUUCCAAAUUUUCAAUCCUCCCAUAAAAUUUCUACAAAAUUAAGGAACCCAUUUCUCAAAUCAAAUAUUUCAUCUCUUGAAAGUUCUUUUACUCCACAGCGGCUUUUGAACUGGACAACUGGUAAGUAUUUUAGAUUUCAAAAUUCAAAGUUUAGUAACUUUAGUUUCUUAGAUUUUAUUACUUGGACCGUCUUUUAUAUAUAUUUUUCAUUAAUAAUUUAAUAUUGAUUAUUGAGAGUGAGUUUUUGAAAAAUCCAAGUUUUUUUGUUUUUGUUUGCAAAUUGUUGAGAUGGCCAGAUGAUUUUUUAUUUUUUUAGUACUUGAGCAUUUUUAAAAUUUUUAGAUUUGAGAAUUGAAUUGAUAUUAAUUUUGACAAUAGCUUUUCGCCUUAAUUAGAUUGUGGAGUAAAAGUUCAUUCUAAAUUGUAAUGUAGAAUUCCUCUUCAUCAACAGGCUUAAUUGAAAUAUUUUUGAAUUUCAAAAUGCAGUAAAUUUUUCACAGCACGAAUGCAGACCCGCAUAAAUGUAGGAAAGGAAAAUUGCAAAAGCUUAAAUAUACUCCCUAGUAAGUAAAUACCGUCAGCUCCCUACUUGUCGCCUUGUCUGCAAAAUAUUGAAAUUGUUGCCUACUUGUCUUGUUGGUCAAUUAGUUAAUUAUUUAUUGUUGAAAUGUUGCAUUGUCAACUUAGUAACUUUUCUUGACAUAUUGUCUUGUCAGCUUAAUGAUUUGUGUCUUUGCCUUUUCGGGCAAUCGCUUAAUGAAUUAUUUUCAUUGCCUUUUCGGCUUAAUGAAUUAUGUUUACUUUUAAAUUUUAACCCGUACGCCAAAAAUUCCUAGAUUCGUCCCCGAUUAUAAAUAACAUUACUCUUAUUUUUCACAUGUUUUAUUCGUGUCACCCAACCUUCAAACAGGAUAGAAAAAAUGAUCGGUGAGGAGUGGAAUUUAGGUCCACACAACUCAUAUGGAAAUUGAGUUUUCGAGUGAGGCCCACAGCGAACUCAACGUUGGAAAAAAAGUUGUGGAGGUAUUUCAAGAAAAAUAAUGUCAUUUUCUUGAUUUCAAAACAAAUAACCCAGAGGCAUAUCGCCGCCCAUUAAUGUAGGGCAGGUGUAUACGCAUAGUUGAAGACAAAUAGACAUUGACC